AUGAGCGACAUCUCCGCGGCCUCUGACCUCGGCACGAUGCCCGCCGCCGGCCAGGGCGCUCUGGAUGCCUCCUCGUCCGGCGACGCUUCUUCGCCGGCGCGCUUAACCAUCCACAACGUGGACAUCCUCACCCACGUCCCCGCCAAGCUAGACUUCGACGCCGACAACUACGCCGAGUGGAGGGACGGCAUGCUCUCCGCGCUCCGAGUUCGGCGCCGUCGACCACGUCGAGGAGCAGGGCCACUGCUGGACGAGGUCAUGGCCGCCCACAGCACCGCCUUCGAGGUCUGGGCCCAGCUGCGCGGCUUCUUCGAGGACGAAGGCGCGUUCGACCCGGCCCUGGAGCUCCGCACCGCCGCGCAGGGGGACAUGUCCGUCAACGCCUACGGCUGGCGCCUCAAGGCGCUGGCCCGCGCCGUCGCCGACGCGGGUGGCGAGCCCGUCUCCGACACCGCGCUGGCCCUGCAGCUGCUCCGCGGGGUGACCCCCAGGCUCCGGGUCAUGGGCACCUCCUUGCUCGUCAAUGACCGCUUCCCCAGUUUCAUGGAGGCCUUAUCCUGGCUGCACCUUGAGGAGUACAGACUAAGAACAGACGACCCAGAGUUAACUGAAUCCAUGUGCGCGCAUGGACUCUGGAGCAGUGAGGAGCAACUCCUUUAUGCCACCUAUUGGGGAUUUGGUCAUUUGCCCCGUUUUACUUUGUGGUUUGAUCACUUGACAUGCUCGUCCAUGACCCUCUGCGCCUUGAGGAGUACAGACGUGAUCAGGGCGAGUUCUGACUGA
rnacentral:rRNA from 1 species